rnacentral:tRNA from 1 species
GGAGAAAUGGCCGAGUGGUUGAAGGCGCACGCUUGGAAAGCGUGUAUACUAUGUGAAAUGGUAUCGGGGGUUCGAAUCCCUUUUUCUCCG